GCUAAUUUGCUGACGAGUGGCGCACGGGUGCGUAACGCGUAUACAAUCUACCUUUUACAGUGGGAUAGCCUUUAGAAAUGAAGAUUAAUACCGCAUAGUAUGUUUAAAUGGCAUCAUUUAGAUAUUAAAGAUUUAUCGGUAAAAGAUGAGUAUGCGUUCUAUUAGCUAGAUGGUAAGGUAACGGCUUACCAUGGCAACGAUAGAUAGGGGCCCUGAGAGGGGGAUCCCCCACACUGGUACUGAGACACGGACCAGACUCCUACGGGAGGCAGCAGUGAGGAAUAUUGGACAAUGGGCGCAAGCCUGAUCCAGCCAUGCCGCGUGCAGGAAGACUGCCCUACGGGUUGUAAACUGCUUUUAUACAGGAAGAAACACCCCCUCGUGAGGGGGCUUGACGGUACUGUAAGAAUAAGGAUCGGCUAACUCCGUGCCAGCAGCCGCGGUAAUACGGAGGAUCCAAGCGUUAUCCGGAAUCAUUGGGUUUAAAGGGUCCGUAGGUGGAUAAUUAAGUCAGAGGUGAAAGUCUGCAGCUCAACUGUAGAAUUGCCUUUGAUACUGGUUAUCUUGAGUCAUUAUGAAGUGGUUAGAAUAUGUAGUGUAGCGGUGAAAUGCAUAGAUAUUACAUAGAAUACCAAUUGCGAAGGCAGAUCACUAAUAAUGU
rnacentral:rRNA from 1 species